rnacentral:rRNA from 1 species
UUGUGGCCUUGAGCCGUGGCUUUCGGAGCUAACGCGUUAAGUAGACCGCCUGGGGAGUACGGUCGCAAGAUUAAAACUCAAAUGAAUUGACGGGGGCCCGCACAAGCGGUGGAGCAUGUGGUUUAAUUCGAUGCAACGCGAAGAACCUUACCUACUCUUGACAUCCUCAGAAGCUUGUAGAGAUACGAGUGUGCCUUCGGGAACUGAGAGACAGGUGCUGCAUGGCUGUCGUCAGCUCGUGUUGUGAAAUGUUGGGUUAAGUCCCGCAACGAGCGCAACCCUUAUCCUUGUUUGCCAGCACUUCGGGUGGGAACUCCAGGGAGACUGCCGGUGAUAAACCGGAGGAAGGUGGGGACGACGUCAAGUCAUCAUGGCCCUUACGAGUAGGGCUACACACGUGCUACAAUGGCGCAUACAGAGGGCAGCCAACUUGCGAGAGUGAGCGAAUCCCAAAAAGUGCGUCGUAGUCCGGAUUGGAGUCUGCAACUCGACUCCAUGAAGUCGGAAUCGCUAGUAAUCGUGGAUCAGAAUGCCACGGUGAAUACGUUCCCGGGCCUUGUACACACCGCCCGUCACACCAUGGGAGUGGGCUGCAAAAGAAGUGGGUAGUUUAACCUUCGGGGGGACGCUCACCACUUUGUGGUUCAUGACUGGGGUGAAGUCGUAACAAGGUAGCGCUAGGGGAACCUGGCGCUG